rnacentral:rRNA from 1 species
UUUUGCAAUUGGAUUGAGAACAACGUACAAACCUUAUCGAUAAACAAUUGGAGGGCAAGUCUGGUGCCAGCAGCCGCGGUAAUUCCAGCUCCAAUAGCGUAUAUUAACGUUGUUGCAGUUAAAAAGCUCGUAGUUGAAAUGAAGGGUAGUUGUGUAAUGAAUACAUUCGUGUAUUUUGUUAUUCAACUACCCUCCUUCUAAAUUCGAUAUAUGAGUAUUAAUUUACUUGUAUAUGGUUUUAGACGUUUACUGUGAGAAAAUUAGAGUGUUCAAAGCAGGCAUUUGCUUGAAUAUAUUAGCAUGGAAUAAUCAUGUAUGAUUUUCAUGAUGUAUUUGAUUGGUUUGGUUCAUGAGAAUAAGAUUAAAAGGGACAGUUGGGGGUAUUCAUAUUCAAUAGUCAGAGGUGAAAUUCUCGGAUUUAUGGAAGAUGAACAAGUGC